CAGUCGUUAAUGCUGGGAUUGGCACAAACCAUGAAAAACGAACAGCCACAGUCAGAACACCUUGGAGCUAGGCUGAAGAAGACGUGGUAGAAAAUGGCCUUAAAAACAGUUUUAAGCUUAAUACUCCACCAAAAAUAAGUUAAAAUGUCUUGAACUUAUAAAGAAGUAUCCAAUGCUUGCCAGGCGAUCAAGGACAAUGGUGAAAGGGUACAUUAGAACAAGGCAACUGGCCUUGCAAUAGGCUCAUCAAAAAGCAAACAAUUAAACAAAUAGAUACUUUAAAUUAUAGAAUAGACUAGAUUGCAUUUUGAUUUAAGCUUUAUAUCUGAAUACCAUCAGUGAUUGACAUUUUCUUUGGAUAUUGUUCUAUUUUUAUUUAUUUUUUAACAAUUAAAAAUUUGAAAUUGAA